GACGAACGCUGGCGGCGUGCUUAACACAUGCAAGUCGAGCGGUAAGGCCCUUUCGGGGGUACACGAGCGGCGAACGGGUGAGUAACACGUGGGUGACCUGCCCUUAGCUCUGGGAUAAGCCUGGGAAACUGGGUCUAAUACCGGAUAUGACUCCAUGACGCAUGUUGUGGGGUGAAAGCCUUGUGCGGCUAGGGAUGGGCCUGCGGCCUAUCAGCUUGUUGGUGGGGUGAUGGCCUACCAAGGCGACGACGGGUAGCCGGCCUGAGAGGGCGACCGGCCACACUGGGACUGAGACACGGCCCAGACUCCUACGGGAGGCAGCAGUGGGGAAUCUUGCGCAAUGGGCGAAAGCCUGACGCAGCGACGCCGCGU
rnacentral:rRNA from 1 species